CUGGCGGCGUGCCUAACACAUGCAAGUCGAACGAGAAAGUGGAGCAAUCCAUGAGUAAAGUGGCGACCGGGUGAGUAACACGUGACUAACCUACCCUCGAGUGGGGAAUAACUCCGGGAAACCGGGGCUAAUACCGCAUAACAUCGCAAGAUCAAAGCAGCAAUGCGCUUGAGGAGGGGGUCGCGGCUGAUUAGCUAGUUGGCGGGGUAACGGCCCACCAAGGCGAAGAUCGGUAUCCGGCCUGAGAGGGCGCACGGACACACUGGAACUGAAACACGGUCCAGACUCCUACGGGAGGCAGCAGUGGGGAAUUUUGCGCAAUGGGGGAAACCCUGACGCAGCAACGCCGCGUGGAGGAUGAAGCCCUUUGGGGCGUAAACUCCUUUCGACCCGGACGAUAAUGACGGUACGAGUGGAAGAAGCACCGGCUAACUCUGUGCCAGCAGCCGCGGUAAUACAGAGGGUGCGAGCGUNGUUCGGAAUUAUUGGGCGUAAAGGGCGCG
rnacentral:rRNA from 1 species